GAGCGUGAUGAUAUGCUAAUGUCGCCCCAGUCUUACGAUCCGUUCACCUUGUGAAUGGAUGAUGGUGAUAGACAUUUUUAUCUGAUUC